UCUGCCUCUAAAUGUGAACUUGGUGCUGAACUUGAAAUACAUCACGUGGUGGAUAAGAUAGAAUAUCCUGACCAUUUGUUGCUAUAACUACCAUACGCAUCCAAGACUUGUCUUCAUCCACUCGUAUUUCAGUUUCAAGGUAUUUUAUUAAGGUAAGGACAUAAUACCCAAUCAGCAUACUCGUUAGGCCGCAAUUCACAAUCGGAGAGCUG
rnacentral:lncRNA from 1 species